rnacentral:rRNA from 1 species
UACAGAGACCUCAAGCGUUAUCCGGAAUCAUUGGGCGUAAAGGGUGCGUAGGUGGAUAUGUUAGUCUUUUGUGAAAUCUCUCGGCUUAACCGAGAAUCCGCGGGAGAUACGGCAUAUCUAGAGUGUGUGAGAGGCGUACGGAACUCAUGGUGUAGGGGUGAAAUCCGUUGAUAUCAUGGGGAACACCGAAGGCGAAAGCAGUACGCUGGCACAUUACCGACACUCAAGCACGAAAGCGUGGGUAGCGAACGGGAUUAGAACCUCG